UACGAGGGGGGCGAGCGUUGUUCGGAAUUAUUGGGCGUAAAGGGUGCGUAGGCGGUUUGGUAAGUCUUGUGUGAAAUCUCCAGGCUCAACUUGGAGUCUGCACGAGAAACUGCCGGGCUUGAGUGUGGGAGAGGUGAGUGGAAUUCCUGGUGUAGCGGUGAAAUGCGUAGAUAUCAGGAGGAACACCGAUGGCGAAGGCAGGUCUCUGGGCCACUACUGACGCUGAGAAGCGAAAGCAUGGGGAGCGAACAGG
rnacentral:rRNA from 1 species